CAAUUAACAGAUCUCACUCUCUCACACUCGUAUCUCCGUCAUGGUCCGUCUCUCUCAGUCUUACACUGAUAUCUCACUCUCACAGACAUCACUCCCUCUCAGUCUCUCACACACCGCUCCUCUCUAUCGUAAUCGAACAUCGAUCUACAUUCCUCGGUCAAACAUCGAUCUCUGUCGCUCUAGGGCUUUGCUCUAGCUGUUCUUCAUCGAACUCGAACUUGAUCUCGAUCUGUUAUUCAUCUCAGAUCAGAUCAUUAUCAUUCUUCGAUUAUCUUCUUCUCUCUUCGAUCUCUCUGAAAAUCUCUCUCUCUCUAAACCCUGUUUGGAUCUAUCUGUGUUCGAUCAUGGAGAUGGAACGUGUGAUCGAGUUUCCACACGCGGACAUGGAUCGUCAUCCCAGAAAGAGACCGCGUUUGGGUUGGGAUGUUGCUCCUCAGGCCCUUAAGAUGCGAAGUUACUUGAGGUAGAAAAGCUUGUUCUCCGUCUUUUCUUGAGCGUAUAUCUUCGAGAUUGUUCGAAUCCCUCUGAUCUAAAUCGAUCUAGGGCUCAAGGCAUCAGAUUGGAGUCUAGGACCAAAAGCAUGUAUACUACUGCUUGGAUGGCGCCCUGAUGUUGCAGAAAUGAUUGAAGAAUAUGAUAAUUAUCUUGGACCUGGUAGUGUAUUGAAACAGGGCAAGCAGCCUUGCUGGUCAAGGCAAGCUCAAGAAUGUCUGGGUUUCCCACAGGGUACUGUUUCAUCAAUAUGAUUGGGAACCCCAUGGACUAUGAUGUCUUAAAGGAAACCAUUAGUAAUAUUCAAAAAUCUUUGAAGAAUGAAGAUAUUCCCUUGUCAAUCGCUGUAAUAUCUGAUAGAGAAUGGUUGCUUGGAGAUCCAUCCAGGGCAGACAAACAUUCCCAUAUUCCCUUCUACUUGCUGAAAAUAUUUGCAACAAACUUGGAGUGAAGGUGAGCGCAACUCAUAUUAAAUUAUCUUGAAAGAUAUUAACGUUUAUUUCAAUUGUAAAUAACAUGAGUACAGCAACUACUUUUUCUUUUCUUUUCCGGGAAAUCUGCCUAAUAGAAUUUAGAAUUAAGGAGAAAAUUCUCAUUUGGGUUGUGAAACUAUAAACAAUGGGCUAAUAUGAUUGAGGCUUAACAUGUGCAAUGCUAGAAGGAUCCAAUUGAAUGACCUAGCGAAGCAUGCUAGCCGUUCUCUUUAUCUUGUAAUGCCUAUAUAGGGCAUACAUGGGCAACAAGCCCCAUUUGGAAGCAAGGAAAAAACGCAAUAUUAUGUCAAUGUAUAAUGUGUAAUUCAAUAUAUUGUCUAUGGUAAUUUGGUUGAUAUCAUUGCAUAUAUGUGGAUGUGUGGGUAC